rnacentral:rRNA from 1 species
CCUACGGGAUGCAGCAGUGGGGUAUAUUGCACAAUGGGGGGAACCCUGAUGCAGCGACGCCGCGUGGGUGAAGGAGCGUUUCGGCGCGUCAAGCCCUAUCGGCAGGGAAGAAGGAGGACGGUACCUGACUAAGAAUCCCCGGCUAACUACGUGCCAGCAGCCGCGGUAAUACGUCGGGGGCAAGCGUUAUCCGGAUUUACUGGGUGUAAAGGGUGCGCAGACGGCAGCGCAAGCAAGGCGGGAAAGCCCGGGGACAAACCCCGGGACUGCUCUUGUCACUGCGCGGCUGGAGUGCAGGAGGGGCAGGCGGAAUUCGUGGUGUAGCGGUGAAAUGCGUAGAUAUCAGGAGGAACACCGGUGGCGAAGGCGGCCUGCUGGACUGCGACUGACGUUGAGGCCCGAAAGCGUGGGGAGCAAACAGGAUUAGAUACCCUAGUAGUC